AACACAUGCAAGUCGAGGGGCAGCAUGGUCUUAUCUUGCUAAGGCCGAUGGCGACCGGCGCACGGGUGAGUAGCACGUAUCCAACCUGCCGUCUACUCUUGGACAGCCUUCUGAAAGGAAGAUUAAUACAAGAUGGCAUCAUGAGUCCGCAUGUUCACAUGAUUAAAGGUAUUCCGGUAGACGAUGGGGAUGCGUUCCAUUAGAUAGUAGGCGGGGUAACGGCCCACCUAGUCUUCGAUGGAUAGGGGUUCUGAGAGGAAGGUCCCCCACAUUGGAACUGAGACACGGUCCAAACUCCUACGGGAGGCAGCAGUGAGGAAUAUUGGUCAAUGGGCGCAGGCCUGAACCAGCCAAGUAGCGUGAAGGAUGACUGCCCUAUGGGUUGUAAACUUCUUUUAUAAAGGAAUAAAGUCGGGUAUGGAUACCCGUUUGCAUGUACUUUAUGAAUAAGGAUCGGCUAACUCCGUGCCAGCAGCCGCGGUAAUACGGAGGAUCCGAGCGUUAUCCGGAUUUAUUGGGUUUAAAGGGAGCGUAGAUGGAUGUUUAAGUCAGUUGUGAAAGUUUGCGGCUCAACCGUAAAAUUGCAGUUGAUACUGGAUAUCUUGAGUGCAGUUGAGGCAGGCGGAAUUCGUGGUGUAGCGGUGAAAUGCUUAGAUAUCACGAAGAACUCCGAUUGCGAAGGCAGCCUGCUAAGCUGCAACUGACAUUGAGGCUCGAAAGUGUGGGUAUCAAACAGGAUUAGAUACCCUGGUAGUCCACACGGUAAACGAUGAAUACUCGCUGUUUGCGAUAUACUGCAAGCGGCCAAGCGAAAGCGUUAAGUAUUCCACCUGGGGAGUACGCCGGCAACGGUGAAACUCAAAGGAAUUGACGGGGGCCCGCACAAGCGGAGGAACAUGUGGUUUAAUUCGAUGAUACGCGAGGAACCUUACCCGGGCUUAAAUUGCAGAUGAAUUACGGUGAAAGCCGUAAGCCGCAAGGCAUCUGUGAAGGUGCUGCAUGGUUGUCGUCAGCUCGUGCCGUGAGGUGUCGGCUUAAGUGCCAUAACGAGCGCAACCCUUGUUGUCAGUUACUAACAGGUUCCGCUGAGGACUCUGACAAGACUGCCAUCGUAAGAUGUGAGGAAGGUGGGGAUGACGUCAAAUCAGCACGGCCCUUACGUCCGGGGCUACACACGUGUUACAAUGGGGGGUACAGAGGGCCGCUACCACGCGAGUGGAUGCCAAUCCCCAAAACCUCUCUCAGUUCGGACUGGAGUCUGCAACCCGACUCCACGAAGCUGGAUUCGCUAGUAAUCGCGCAUCAGCCACGGCGCGGUGAAUACGUUCCCGGGCCUUGUACACACCGCCCGUCAAGCCAUGAAAGCCGGGGGUACCUGAAGUGCGUAACCGCAAGGAGCGCCCUAGGGUAAAACUGGUGAUUGGCU
rnacentral:rRNA from 1 species